UACGGGGGGGGCAAGCGUUGUUCGGAAUUACUGGGCGUAAAGGGCUCGUAGGCGGCCAACUAAGUCGGAUGUGAAAUCCCCAGGCUUAACCUGGGAACUGCACCCGAUACUGGAUGGCUUGAAUUCGGGAGAGGGAUGCAGAAUUCCAGGUGUAGCGGUGAAAUGCGUAGAUAUCUGGAGGAAUACCGGUGGCGAAGGCGGCAUCCUGGACCGACAUUGACGCUGAGGAGCGAAAGCUAGGGGAGCAAACGGG
rnacentral:rRNA from 1 species